rnacentral:sRNA from 3 species
GUUUGCACUUGUCGGGGAAGGGUGAGAACCUUCGAUUAAGGUUCGACUCGAGCGAAAGCGAGAGAACGUUGCCAACGGCAACGGCCCGUAGGGGGAGGAGCGAAGCGACGAAUAAUCCUUCCCCCACCACCA